GAUGAACGCUGGCGGCGUGCCUAAUACAUGCAAGUCGAGCGAACAGACGAGGAGCUUGCUCCUCUGACGUUAGCGGCGGACGGGUGAGUAACACGUGGAUAACCUACCUAUAAGACUGGGAUAACUUCGGGAAACCGGAGAUAAUACCGGAUAAUAUAUUGAACCGCAUGGUUCAAUAGUGAAAGACGGUUUUGCUGUCACUUAUAGAUGGAUCCGCGCCGCAUUAGCUAGUUGGUAAGGUAACGGCUUACCAAGGCAACGAUGCGUAGCCGACCUGAGAGGGUGGUCGGCCACACUGGAGCUGAGACGCGGUCCAGGCUCCUACGGGAGGCAGCAGUAGGGAAUCUUCCGCAAUGGGCGAAAGCCUGACGGAGCAACGCCGCGUGAGUGAUGAAGGUCUUCGGAUCGUAAAACUCUGUUAUUAGGGAAGAACAAAUUUGUAAGUAACUAUGCACGUCUUGACGGUACCUAAUCAGAAAGCCACGGCUAACUACGUG
rnacentral:rRNA from 1 species